GCUAGCUGGCGGCUCUCUGCGCAUGUGGGAGAGCUGUUUUUUGUUGAGCCGCUCCGGCAGACGUAACACCCCUACAAUAUCGUAUCAGUUUCAGUUAUAAGGAGUUGUAAGAAAUGGCAGAACGGAUCGUCGGAACGGUCAAAUGGUUCAACAGCAGCAAGGGCUUUGGCUUCAUCGCUCAGCCCAAUGGCGGCGCGGAUGUGUUUGUUCACUUUUCCGCCAUCAGCAUGGACGGCUACCGCACUUUGGAAGAAGGGCAGCAGGUUGAGUUCACGAUCGAGCAGGGCCCCAAAGGCCUGCAGGCCGCGAACGUGACCCCUGUUCGCUAAACUAAAAAAACGAACCCGGCCCCACCCUGGUGGGGCCGGUGAU
rnacentral:misc_RNA from 1 species